GAUGAAGAACGUAGCGAAAUGCGAUAAGUAAUGUGAAUUGCAGAAUUCAGUGAAUCAUCGAAUCUUUGAACGCACAUUGCGCCCGCCAGUAUUCUGGCGGGCAUGCCUGUUCGAGCGUCAUUUCAACCCUCAAGCACAGCUUGGUGUUGGGACUCGCGUUAAUUCGCGUUCCCCAAAUUGAUUGGCGGUCACGUCGAGCUUCCAUAGCGUAGUAGUAAAACCCUCGUUACUGGUAAUCGUCGCGGCCACGCCGUUAAACCCCAACUUCUGAAUGUUGACCCCGGAUCAGGUAGGAAUACCCGCUGAACUUAAGCAUAUCAAUAAGCGGAGGA
rnacentral:misc_RNA from 1 species